AGUGAACGCUGGCGGUAGGCCUAACACAUGCAAGUCGAACGGCAGCACAGUAAGAGCUUGCUCUUACGGGUGGCGAGUGGCGGACGGGUGAGGAAUACAUCGGAAUCUACUUUUUCGUGGGGGAUAACGUAGGGAAACUUACGCUAAUACCGCAUACGACCUACGGGUGAAAGCAGGGGAUCUUCGGACCUUGCGCGAUUGAAUGAGCCGAUGUCGGAUUAGCUAGUUGGCGGGGUAAAGGCCCACCAAGGCGACGAUCCGUAGCUGGUCUGAGAGGAUGAGCAGCCACACUGGAACUGAGACACGGUCCAGACUCCUACGGGAGGCAGCAGAGGGGAAUGUAGGACAAUGGGCGCAAGCCUGAUCCAGCCAUACCGCGUGGGUGAAGAAGGCCUUCGGGUUGUAAAGCCCUUUUGUUUGGAAAGAAAAGCAGCAGGUUAAUACCCCGCUGUUCUGACGGUACCCAAAGAAUAAGCACCGGCUAACUUCGUG
rnacentral:rRNA from 1 species